AUACGUAGGUGGCAAGCGUUAUCCGGAAUUAUUGGGCGUAAAGGGUGCGUAGGCGGUUGAUUAAGUUUUAGGUGAAAGCGUGGGGCUCAACUCCAUACAGCCUAAGAAACUGGUCAACUAGAGUGCAGAAGAGGGUAGUGGAAUUCCAUGUGUAGCGGUAAAAUGCGUAGAUAUAUGGAGGAACACCAGUGGCGAAGGCGGCUACCUGGUCUGUAACUGACGCUCAAGCACGAAAGCGUGGGGAGCAAAUAGGAUUAGAUACCCUAGUAGUCCACGCCGUAAACGAUGGAUACUAAGUGUUGGGGAAACUCAGUGCUGCAGUUAACGCAAUAAGUAUCCCGCCUGGGGAGUACGACCGCAAGGUUGAA
rnacentral:rRNA from 1 species